UACGGAGGGUGCAAGCGUUAUCCGGAUUCACUGGGUUUAAAGGGUGCGUAGGUGGGCAGGUAAGUCAGUGGUGAAAUCUCCGGGCUUAACCCGGAAACUGCCAUUGAUACUAUCUGUCUUGAAUACCGUGGAGGUGAGCGGAAUAUGUCAUGUAGCGGUGAAAUGCUUAGAUAUGACAUAGAACACCAAUUGCGAAGGCAGCUCACUACACGAAUAUUGACACUGAGGCACGAAAGCGUGUGGAUCAAACAGG
rnacentral:rRNA from 1 species